CGGUCUGGCGGCGAGUGGCGAACGGGUGAGUAAUGUAUCGGAACGUGCCCAGUAGCGGGGGAUAACUACUCGAAAGAGUAGCUAAUACCGCAUACGCCCUACGGGGGAAAGGGGGGGAUCGCAAGACCUCUCACUAUUGGAGCGGCCGAUAUCGGAUUAGCUAGUUGGUGAGGUAAAGGCUCACCAAGGCGACGAUCCGUAGCUGGUUUGAGAGGACGACCAGCCACACUGGGACUGAGACACGGCCCAGACUCCUACGGGAGGCAGCAGUGGGGAAUUUUGGACAAUGGGGGCAACCCUGAUCCAGCCAUCCCGCGUGUGCUAUGAAGGCCUUCGGGUUGUAAAGCACUUUUGGCAGGAAAGAAAUCGCAUGGAUUAAUACUCUGUGUGGAUGACGGUACCUGCAGAAUAAGCAUCGGCUAACUACGUGCCAGCAGCCGCGGUAAUACGUAGGGUGCAAGCGUUAAUCGGAAUUACUGGGCGUAAAGCGUGCGCAGGCGGUUCGGAAAGAAAGAUGUGAAAUCCCAGGGCUUAACCUUGGAACUGCAUUUUUAACUCCCGAGCUAGAGUGCGUCAGAGGGGGGUGGAAUUCCGCGUGUAGCAGUGAAAUGCGUAGAUAUGCGGAGGAACACCGAUGGCGAAGGCAGCCCCCUGGGAUGACACUGACGCUCAUGCACGAAAGCGUGGGGAGCAAACAGGA
rnacentral:rRNA from 1 species